AUGGAGAAACAUCUACUACUGAUUGUCAUAACAGCAUCAGGUGUAUUUCCUAACAGCAUUGGACCAAAAGACAAGGACACAAUAAUCAGUAAAGAAGGAGAGUCUGUGACUCUGAGCUGCUCAUACAGUACAAUUGCCAGUGACAUCUUGCUUUACUGGUUCAGACAGUAUCCAAACACAGAACCUCAGUAUUUACUGCUCAAAGGUGCUCGAUUGUGGAACCGUGAGGAGAACAUACCAGACCGACGGUUUAAUUCGACUACAUCCCAGUCAUCCACUGAACUCACUAUUGAUAAAGCAGCUCUGUCAGAUUCAGCUCUCUAUUAUUGUGCUCUAAGAAUUGUACCCCAGUGA